AACGCUGGCGGCGUGCCUAACACAUGCAAGUCGAACGCGAAAGGGGCUUCGGCCCUGAGUAGAGUGGCGAACGGGUGAGUAACGCGUGGGUGAUCUACCUUCGAGUGGGGGAUAACGUCCCGAAAGGGGCGCUAAUACCGCAUGACGUUCUGGGUUUAAAGACCUGGAAACCAAAGCCGGGGACCGCAAGGCCUGGCGCUUAAAGAGGAGCCCGCGUCCGAUUAGCUAGUUGGCGGGGUAACGGCCCACCAAGGCGACGAUCGGUAGCCGGCCUGAGAGGGCGGACGGCCACACUGGAACUGAGACACGGUCCAGACUCCUACGGGAGGCAGCAGUGGGGAAUUGUUCACAAUGGGCGCAAGCCUGAUGACGCAACGCCGCGUGGGGGAUGAAGGUCUUCGGAUUGUAAACCCCUGUCGAAUGGGACGAAUGGCCUCUGGGCUAAUCACCAGAGGAAUGACGGUACCGUUAAAGGAAG
rnacentral:rRNA from 1 species